CCCAAGGCUACUAGAGAUUACACCAGUUCCAGUUUGGAUCCAGCCUCGCGUGUGAAGACUUCAGAAGACGCCAACACUCACAAAGACUUCAGAUGAUGGCAACUAGAUGAACAUACAAAGCUGCCAAAUAAUCCUUAUAUUGUAAUCAUUGCCCUAAAAGGGAGGAACUUGUCAACAAAUCUACCUCACAACGCAUCAAUGAAAGCAGUUUGGCAAUUACAGACGGGUGUGUUGGAUCAGGGUUAGAUCUGAAUUCUGCAGGUUUUCUGGAUUCCCAGUUGAAGACAUCAGUACAUCAGAUGUUGGCCUGGACAGCUGUAUCUACAGUACACCACACUGACCUCUGCUUUUGCAUAGAUGGCUGACUACUACCAUAGUAUUAUUGGUAUUAUGUUGUAAGGCAGGGGUACUCAAGUUCAGAGGCCAAGCGGGCCGCAUUUAAACUACAU